UUGAACGCUGGCGGCAUGCCCUACACAUGCAAGUCGAACGGUAACAGGUUAAGCUGACGAGUGGCGAACGGGUGAGUAAUAUAUCGGAACGCGCCCAGUCGUGGGGGAUAACUGCUCGAAAGAGCAGCUAAUACCGCAUACGACCUGAGGGUGAAAGCGGGGGAUCGCAAGACCUCGCGCGAUUGGAGCGGCCGAUAUCAGAUUAGGUAGUUGGUGGGGUAAAGGCCCACCAAGCUAACGAUCUGUAGCUGGUCUGAGAGGACGACCAGCCACACUGGGACUGAGACACGGCCCAGACUCCUACGGGAGGCAGCAGUGGGGAAUUUUGGACAAUGGACGCAAGUCUGAUCCAGCCAUGCCGCGUGCGGGAAGAAGGCCCUCGGGUUGUAAACCGCUUUUGUCAGGGAAGAAACGGCUCGCUCUAAUACAGUGGGCUAAUGACGGUACCUGAAGAAUAAGCACCGGCUAACUACGU
rnacentral:rRNA from 1 species